AGCCCCACUAAGAUAAAUAUUUUGUAUAUCCUGUUUAUUAUAAAAGAUGACUAUGAUAUUUGAUAAAAUAGUGAGAGACAUAAUUAAACAAAAGACCUUAUUUAAUUAUGCAUGUCAUCAUGAGUGGUUGCUUAUGUAUUAUUCUUUAUUUAAUAUAGAUUAAAAUUCUACAAUGGCAUCUUCAUUAUCAUUGCGAGAAAUUUUAAAUUUCAACAAAUUGAUCAGUUCCAAUUACGUGGACUGAUUGAGAAAUUUAAAAAUAGUGCUCACUCAGGAGAAGCUUUCCUAUAUUCUUAAUAUCCUUGAAUCACAAG
rnacentral:lncRNA from 1 species